CACACAAUGGCCAACUUCGGUUUCUCACUUCAAACACUACAUACUGCACAUUUGUAGUUCUGAGAAUGAAGGUAGAAUCGAGUUAAUAUUCUCGGUACACUGGAAGCUAUUACAUCUUGGUGUAAUCCUGUCUGUUGCUGAACGCUUAUUUUGGCCGCAGCUAUUACUGAUGGAAGAUAUGUGUGUACUUCAAUAGAGGAAAUUCUUGCAGUAACUGUGAUCUAUCUUCUGGACUGAAGUUGAUAUUUAGGUGCAACAGUGUUCUUUCUGAAGAUUUAUUGUUUAGUGCUUUGCCAAACCAGAUAGUUCCAUAGAGGAAGUUCUUUCAGUGACAUUGAUUUAUCUUAUGGCCUGAAGCUGAUAAUCAUUGUGCAACUGUAUUCUGUCAAUCACAUGCUAGCAAAUGUUGGUGUCUGCUGAUGCUUUGCUGUUUGGUGCUUACUCAAACCAGGUUUGUUCUGUGUCCUGCCUUCAUAUGUUCG